UGAACGCUGGCGGCAUGCCUAACACAUGCAAGUCGAACGAAGGCUUCGGCCUUAGUGGCGCACGGGUGAGUAACGCGUGGGAACCUGCCUGGCAGUGGGGAAUAACCUUGGGAAACUGGGGCUAAUACCGCAUACGCCCUUUUGGGGAAAGAUUUAUCGCUGUCAGAUGGGCCCGCGUCGGAUUAGGUAGUUGGUGAGGUAACGGCUCACCAAGCCGACGAUCCGUAGCUGGUCUGAGAGGAUGACCAGCCACACUGGGACUGAGAUACGGCCCAGACUCCUACGGGAGGCAGCAGUGGGGAAUAUUGGACAAUGGGGGAAACCCUGAUCCAGCAAUGCCGCGUGAGUGAUGAAGGCCUUCGGGUUGUAAAGCUCUUUCAGGUGGACGAUGAUGACGGUACACCAGAAGAAGCCCGGCUAACUUCGCGCCAGCAGCCGCGGUAAUCU
rnacentral:rRNA from 1 species